CAUCUUAUACCUGUGUUCCAGGGGGGCAUCCAUAGCCGUGCUCAGGACUGUGACCAGGAUGGCAGGCAGGGUCCAUCAGAUGGCUUCUGAUAUUCUGAACCACGGGUAUGGGGACAUGAGAGACAAGCUCACCUCACUCCAUCCACACCUGAGUAUUUCUUUAUAAAGAGCAGUUUCGGGGUGAGGGAUUGCUGUUGUCUCCCAGCUCCCCAAGGAGAAUAUUUUGGCCCCAUAUGCUUGAAGAACAUGCUCUGGAGGACACAGAGCUCAACUGCCAAACCCCCAGCCUCAGGUGGGCACCGGCACUCUCCAAGCAACCCCUCUUUUCCUGCUGCACAGACAAACCUUCACGGCCACCAGAACCUUUCAACUUGUUUCCCCACUGCUUUCACAACAGGGCUCACCAGCCUCCACUACAAUCUACGCUGGAGCCAUCACUCAGUGAUUUGUGAUGUACUGAAACAUAGUUUACAUUGCAAAAACUCUAAUAUGUCCCUGGAAAGCAAUUAAGAGCGAGUUGCGUAUGAGUGUUACGGGUUUUGCUCCACGAGCAGAUGUCCUCUUGGCGGAUGUACCGCCGACCUCUCGCUCCCGCAAGCUUUGCUCCACCUCAGAGCCACAGCAAGGAGAGGGACUAUCUUGCUCCUGAUCAGCCAGGCUGAUUUUUAUGAGGCUUUUCUCCGGAAAUAAGAAGUAUGGCAAAGAGAGGUGAUCUUCCCCCGCGGCUGCUGGUGUGGAUUAUGGAGCUGGCAGCAGCAGGAACGCAUUAAGGAAAGCUCCCAGCAACGGCUUUCCAGAAAGGCCUUCAGAAGUUCCCCCCUGCUGCCUUUGUGCUGGCAGCCUAAUUUUUCAAGACCUUCUCCUGGUCCUGGUGUGACACAGAGACAGAAGGAUUUCUGUGGACCUGGUGCCUGGCCAAACCUUGCAUCCAUCCCAUGGCUACAUCCAGCCCAAGUCUGGAGGAAGAGUCUCCUGACCAUGUCAAUUGUUUUGAUCAUCCAGGGCUUCAACUACAACUCUUUCCACAAACUCCUCUGAAUGAAGGAUCUGGAAGAAAUAAUGUGAUUUUUCUCAGCAUUUUUUCCCAACCUCUAGAGACCAAUCAGAGCUUGAAAUCCACAAUGAGGCAUGAAAGCUGCCUUGAAAUUUUCACAUGCUCCUGCUCCUGCCUAGCAAGCAAGCAAGCAGUACACCUGACCUGAGGUACAGAGGCACUUUGCCAGCCAAUAUAAUCAAGUUUCACCAAUUAACUUUCAGUAGUGGAGGGUUUGGCUAGAAGUAUUCAACUUUAAUCCCAGAUAAUGUGUGAGACAACUUUCAGUGUGCUCAUUUCAAAAUGUUUAAUGGGCUUCUGUGUUUUCUAUAGGUCUGUAAUAUCUCCCAUAAACAUAUAAAUCAUCUCUGUGGUACAGAAAAGAGAAAAUGCUCAAAAUGCUGACUGGCAGAAGUAGAAACACCUCCUCAUCCUCUCCUGGUUUCAGUGAUAUAUCAGUUCAAGCUUUGCCUAUUGUUUAGAAGUGCAUAUGAUUUCUGCAACGUUGUCUUGAAAGCCAACUAGGGACCCCUUCAUGUUUUGGAAUUUGACUUCUUCUUGCCUUAAUUUUCCACAUCUGAGAAGGGUGUUACAAGGAUAAGUUAAUAUUGCAAGGUGGUGAUUGAUGAGCAGAUCUUUCAAAACACAAAGUACCACCUGAUGCUGAGGAUUUUCAAGGGAGUUUGGAGACUGGCAUUGAAGGUCAAGGAAAGUGUAGGUGCCCCAUCACUGGAAAUAUUCAAGGCCAGGCUGCUCAUGGCAGGGGGGUUGGACUAGGUGAGCUUCGAAGGUCUCUUCCAACCUGAACUAUUCUAUGAUUCCUAAGGAGCUGGUCUGAACCUGACCUCUCUAGAUCAUAAAAUGAUCCUACAAACCAAUAUGAAAUAUAAAUAUUCUCUAAUGUUCAAUUUUGCUAACAGGCUGGUGAAUGGUGAAGGCUUUGGUUGAUGCUUCUGGCUACUCAUAAAUCUCUGCAGGAUUUCUAAAAUUCUGAGGGAUGUUCCAAGAAAACAGAUUAAUUUUCUUUCCCCCGCAGUCUUAUUUUACUUUGAAUCCUCAGCAUUUUCUUUUCCUAAAACAAGAUAUCAAAAUAUCUUGCAUGGAAUUAUUUAAUACAUACUGUGAAACACCUUGCCAAAAAACAUUCACUUCAAACAGUAUUUGUUUGGAGUACCUGAGUUUUCAUUCAGCCUCAGGAAUUCUGCUUAGCACAACUCCAUGAUAUUUUAAAAUGGAAACAAAACAACAUUAACAUUUAUCAGUGACAUGCAGUGGCUUUUUUAGAUUUUGUAUAUUGAUCUUGGGUAACUGAAAAUAAGCUGCUCUCUCUCUUUUUUUUCCUCUUCUAUACAAUCAUCUUCUUUAUUAUCCUCUUACAAGUUUUCAGAAAGGUUACCUUCAGGUUGUGAACAGACUGAUGAUAGAGUGUAAGCAUGUAGCUCUCCUCAGUAACACAUACCUUGCUUAUUUCUAAAAUAACCAGCAGUUAAAUAUUUCAUAUUUUCAGGAUUUUUUCCAAACACUAGCAUGGCCAUACCACAGAAGUGAUUUAGAGUAGCUCAUACUCUUCAUGGUUUUGUAGUCCAUGCAAUAUACUGACCCACAAAUGUAGAAAAAAAUCUAUUUCAACAACCAUCUAAAAAUAUGUUCCCUAAAAAGUAUCUACCCAAGAAUGACUUUGUAUCAAAAAUGUUAUAUUAUUUAAGGGGAGAAAAAAAAUCCUUCAAGAAACUUUUCCAUUUCAAAAUGUGAAAACAAUGUCCUUUCUCGGGGUUUGAGCUGCUUUAAUUUGAGGACUAAAGAAAAUAAACAUUUUUCCUGCUGAA